rnacentral:tRNA from 1 species
GCCCUGGUAGUCUAGUGGUUAAGACUUGGUGCUCUCAUCUCCAGGACCCAGGUUCAUUUCCUGGUCAGGGAU